rnacentral:rRNA from 1 species
UACGUAGGGUGCAAGCGUUGUCCGGAAUUAUUGGGCGUAAAGAGCUCGUAGGCGGUCUGUCGCGUCGGAUGUGAAAAUCCAGGGCUCAACCCUGGACCUGCAUUCGAUACGGGCAGACUAGAGUUCGGUAGGGGAGACUGGAAUUCCUGGUGUAGCGGUGAACUGCGCAGAUAUCAGGAGGAACACCGGUGGCGAAGGCGGGUCUCUGGGCCGAAACUGACGCUGAGGAGCGAAAGCGUGGGGAGCGAACAGG